GAUGAACGCUGGCGGCGUGCCUAAUACAUGCAAGUCGAGCGAACAGACGAGGAGCUUGCUCCUCUGACGUUAGCGGCGGACGGGUGAGUAACACGUGGAUAACCUACCUAUAAGACUGGGAUAACUUCGGGAAACCGGAGCUAAUACCGGAUAAUAUAUUGAACCGCAUGGUUCAAUAGUGAAAGACGGUUUUGCUGUCACUUAUAGAUGGAUCCGCGCCGCAUUAGCUAGUUGGUAAGGUAACGGCUUACCAAGGCAACGAUGCGUAGCCGACCUGGGAGGGUUGUUCGCCACCCCGGAAACUAGACACGGGUCCGAACUCCUCCGGAGGGCAGAGUUGGGAAAUCUUCGGCAAUGGCGAAAGCUUGACGGAGCAACGCCGCGUGAGUGAUGAAGGUCUUCGGAUCGUAAAACUCUGUUAUUAGGGAAGAACAAAUGUGUAAGUAACUAUGCACGUCUUGACGGUACCUAAUCAGAAAGCCACGGCUAACUACGUG
rnacentral:rRNA from 1 species